AUGAAGCCUAGUGAAGAAUCUGGGCAUUGGUGCUUGAUUGUUCUGAAUUUGAGGUUUCGUCGUUUCGAGUGUCUUGAUUCACCCCGCGAUGAAACCUGGAGUGAUGCAGUUACAUUCUUAAGGACUAUGACAGAUAACAUAAAGAAGCUUUGGAGGGAGUCUAGCAUAGACAAGGCCAAACCAUUCUCGCCAGUGCAUAUUGAUGGUUUCUCUUGCGAGUUUGUGCGGGUGCCGCAGGAGAGAAACACCCACAAAGACAUUCUUGACAUUAGGAAUACUUUGCUAUAUACUUGGGCAACUAGCAAUGUGUUUGAUGUUGACUUCCGGGGUUUGUUUGGCAUCGAACCCUGUGAGUGGAUGGAUCUUGGUGAGCAUGACUACAUGAUCUCUGGCAGCCAGUUCUCGGAGCUCGAGCCGUGUUAUGAAGGGGCGGUUGGGAGCUUUGAAAGGUUCUAUGGCUGCUUGUGCAGAGAGCCCCUCUACACCCAAGAAUCCCAUUGUGGAAUUGAUAUACAGCGGUGA
rnacentral:rRNA from 1 species